GGUUAAGCGACUAAGCGUACACGGUGGAUGCCCUGGCAGUCAGAGGCGAUGAAGGACGUGCUAAUCUGCGAUAAGCGUCGGUAAGGUGAUAUGAACCGUUAUAACCGGCGAUUUCCGAAUGGGGAAACCCAGUGUGUUUCGACACACUAUCAUUAACUGAAUCCAUAGGUUAAUGAGGCGAACCGGGGGAACUGAAACAUCUAAGUACCCCGAGGAAAAGAAAUCAACCGAGAUUCCCCCAGUAGCGGCGAGCGAACGGGGAGCAGCCCAGAGCCUGAAUCAGUGUGUGUGUUAGUGGAAGCGUCUGGAAAGGCGCGCGAUACAGGGUGACAGCCCCGUACACAAAAAUGCACAUGCUGUGAGCUCGAUGAGUAGGGCGGGACACGUGGUAUCCUGUCUGAAUAUGGGGGGACCAUCCUCCAAGGCUAAAUACUCCUGACUGACCGAUAGUGAACCAGUACCGUGAGGGAAAGGCGAAAAGAACCCCGGCGAGGGGAGUGAAAAAGAACCUGAAACCGUGUACGUACAAGCAGUGGGAGCACGCUUAGGCGUGUGACUGCGUACCUUUUGUAUAAUGGGUCAGCGACUUAUAUUCUGUAGCAAGGUUAACCGAAUAGGGGAGCCGAAGGGAAACCGAGUCUUAACUGGGCGUUAAGUUGCAGGGUAUAGACCCGAAACCCGGUGAUCUAGCCAUGGGCAGGUUGAAGGUUGGGUAACACUAACUGGAGGACCGAACCGACUAAUGUUGAAAAAUUAGCGGAUGACUUGUGGCUGGGGGUGAAAGGCCAAUCAAACCGGGAGAUAGCUGGUUCUCCCCGAAAGCUAUUUAGGUAGCGCCUCGUGAAUUCAUCUCCGGGGGUAGAGCACUGUUUCGGCAAGGGGGUCAUCCCGACUUACCAACCCGAUGCAAACUGCGAAUACCGGAGAAUGUUAUCACGGGAGACACACGGCGGGUGCUAACGUCCGUCGUGAAGAGGGAAACAACCCAGACCGCCAGCUAAGGUCCCAAAGUCAUGGUUAAGUGGGAAACGAUGUGGGAAGGCCCAGACAGCCAGGAUGUUGGCUUAGAAGCAGCCAUCAUUUAAAGAAAGCGUAAUAGCUCACUGGUCGAGUCGGCCUGCGCGGAAGAUGUAACGGGGCUAAACCAUGCACCGAAGCUGCGGCAGCGACGCUGAUGCGUUGUUGGGUAGGGGAGCGUUCUGUAAGCCUGUGAAGGUGUGCUGUGAGGCAUGCUGGAGGUAUCAGAAGUGCGAAUGCUGACAUAAGUAACGAUAAAGCGGGUGAAAAGCCCGCUCGCCGGAAGACCAAGGGUUCCUGUCCAACGUUAAUCGGGGCAGGGUGAGUCGACCCCUAAGGCGAGGCCGAAAGGCGUAGUCGAUGGGAAACAGGUUAAUAUUCCUGUACUUGGUGUUACUGCGAAGGGGGGACGGAGAAGGCUAUGUUGGCCGGGCGACGGUUGUCCCGGUUUAAGCGUGUAGGCUGGUUUUCCAGGCAAAUCCGGAAAAUCAAGGCUGAGGCGUGAUGACGAGGCACUACGGUGCUGAAGCAACAAAUGCCCUGCUUCCAGGAAAAGCCUCUAAGCAUCAGGUAACAUCAAAUCGUACCCCAAACCGACACAGGUGGUCAGGUAGAGAAUACCAAGGCGCUUGAGAGAACUCGGGUGAAGGAACUAGGCAAAAUGGUGCCGUAACUUCGGGAGAAGGCACGCUGAUAUGUAGGUGAAGUCCCUCGCGGAUGGAGCUGAAAUCAGUCGAAGAUACCAGCUGGCUGCAACUGUUUAUUAAAAACACAGCACUGUGCAAACACGAAAGUGGACGUAUACGGUGUGACGCCUGCCCGGUGCCGGAAGGUUAAUUGAUGGGGUCAGCGCAAGCGAAGCUCUUGAUCGAAGCCCCGGUAAACGGCGGCCGUAACUAUAACGGUCCUAAGGUAGCGAAAUUCCUUGUCGGGUAAGUUCCGACCUGCACGAAUGGCGUAAUGAUGGCCAGGCUGUCUCCACCCGAGACUCAGUGAAAUUGAACUCGCUGUGAAGAUGCAGUGUACCCGCGGCAAGACGGAAAGACCCCGUGAACCUUUACUAUAGCUUGACACUGAACAUUGAGCCUUGAUGUGUAGGAUAGGUGGGAGGCUUUGAAGUGUGGACGCCAGUCUGCAUGGAGCCGACCUUGAAAUACCACCCUUUAAUGUUUGAUGUUCUAACGUUGACCCGUAAUCCGGGUUGCGGACAGUGUCUGGUGGGUAGUUUGACUGGGGCGGUCUCCUCCUAAAGAGUAACGGAGGAGCACGAAGGUUGGCUAAUCCUGGUCGGACAUCAGGAGGUUAGUGCAAUGGCAUAAGCCAGCUUGACUGCGAGCGUGACGGCGCGAGCAGGUGCGAAAGCAGGUCAUAGUGAUCCGGUGGUUCUGAAUGGAAGGGCCAUCGCUCAACGGAUAAAAGGUACUCCGGGGAUAACAGGCUGAUACCGCCCAAGAGUUCAUAUCGACGGCGGUGUUUGGCACCUCGAUGUCGGCUCAUCACAUCCUGGGGCUGAAGUAGGUCCCAAGGGUAUGGCUGUUCGCCAUUUAAAGUGGUACGCGAGCUGGGUUUAGAACGUCGUGAGACAGUUCGGUCCCUAUCUGCCGUGGGCGCUGGAGAACUGAGGGGGGCUGCUCCAAGUACGAGAGGACCGGAGUGGACGCAUCACUGGUGUUCGGGUUGUCAUGCCAAUGGCACUGCCCGGUAGCUAAAUGCGGAAGAGAUAAGUGCUGAAAGCAUCUAAGCACGAAACUUGCCCCGAGAUGAGUUCUCCCUGACUCCUUGAGAGUCCUGAAGGAACGUUGAAGACGACGACGUUGAUAGGCCGGGUGUGUAAGCGCAGCGAUGCGUUGAGCUAACCGGUACUAAUGAACCGUGAGGCUUAACCUU
rnacentral:rRNA from 1 species